GCCGACUGUUCGCUCCAUUCUGAGAUCCAGGCAAUCUGAGCUUUGCCGCCUCCAGACGCAGCCACCAGGAGCUGGCAUGGAAGGAGAGAUCAGAGGAGAUGCACGAGGAUCUGGGAGGCAGGCCCUUUGAGGCUGCUGAAGAGUAAGAGGCUGCAGCAGCAGGAAGGCCUCCGCCUCACUGCCCCGAGAGGACGGACGAGAGAAGCAGGCCUCUACCUCUGACAGUCCUUCCCUGGCUUAAGGGUCCUCAUCCGUCAAAUGGACUACAGUUCUCGUCCUGCCUACGCACGCAAAGGACAGACGCUAUGGUCCCUGAGCAAAAGAAACACCAGAAAACCAGCAGCAGCAUGCUGUGUCCAAGCACCCUUCCAGCCGCAAGGGUGACCUUCCCACACACACCCGGGCUAGUCAUGGCAGAUGCGCUCCCCAGCAUCUCUACCUCCCCCAGCCCUGCCGUGCCCCAACAGCAGCCCUGGCCUCUCCGCCUCUGCUCCCUUAGAUAGGGAGAGAGUGGAGAAAGGCAGGCUCAGAGAAUGCUACUGUGCUGGGGACUGGGGCAUCACAGGUCUCAUUUCAUCCCACCUCAAGCCUUCUAGGUCACUCCUACUGGUGAGACAACAGGGGAGCUGACGUGACUGAUUGGAGAUCACACAGCUCAGUCUAGGGGUGCUGAUCCCAUCUUUUCUCAGAAACGGAACAUUCUGGAAGUACUGACUCCAUGCCAGGCGUGAAACAUGGCUGCUCCUCUGUUCAUCUAACUCACAUUAAGCAUCUACCAAACCACAGGGUUCUAGCUGCUCUUCCCUGUCGGAGGAGCUGCAGAACUGGGGGUGAUGAAAUGGGGGCUGUCCUGUGAAGUGACAAGGUGGGGAAUCCAGUCGGGGCUGCCUGGCUGUGGCUCACCCUUGUCCCCGGCCUCUGGUCCCUUUUCCUUGUCAUGGCGCACUGCUCAGCCCGCUCCUCGUCAGGCCCUUGGUUCUCCCACCCUUCCCAGGUGGCCCUGCGGGCACAGCCCCAUCUCCUCUGAGCCCCUUCAACCUUGCUGUCUUGCCCCUAUCUGGCUUGGGAUCAACAUUGUGAAAAUGGCGGGCUAGGGGAAUG